GGUGAACGCUGGCGGCGUGCCUAACACAUGCAAGUCGAGCGGUGCAGUUUGAAGCUUCGGUGGAAAGCUGCAUAGCGGCGGACGGGUGAGGAAAACGUAGGAACGUGCCCCUUGGAGUUGGAUAGCCACGGGAAACUGUGGGUAAACCGACAUAGACUCGAGAGAGUAAAGGCCGAAAGGCGCCAAGGGAGCGGCCUGCGGCCCAUCAGGUAGUUGGUAGUGUAAAGGACUACCAAGCCGACGACGGGUAGCCGGUCUGAGAGGAUGUACGGCCACACUGGGACUGAGAUACGGCCCAGACUCCUACGGGAGGCAGCAGUUGGGAAUCUUAGGCAAUGGACGAAAGUCUGACCUAGCGACGCCGCGUGAGGGAAGAAGGCCUUCGGGUUGUAAACUCUGUCAUGGGGAAGGAAGGAAGUGACGGUACCCAACGAGGAAGCCCUGCUAACUACGUGCCAGCAGCCGCGGUAAACAUAACUCGUA
rnacentral:rRNA from 1 species